CCUACGGGGGGCUGCAGUGGGGAAUAUUGCACAAUGGGGGAAACCCUGAUGCAGCAACGCCGCGUGAGUGAAGAAGUAUUUCGGUAUGUAAAGCUCUAUCAGCAGGGAAGAAGAUGACGGUACCUGAGUGAGAAGCCACGGCUAACUACGUGCCAGCAGCCGCGGUAAUACGUAGGGGGCAAGCGUUAUCCGGAUUUACUGGGUGUAAAGGGAGCGUAGACGGGGAGACAAGUCUGAAGUGAAAGCACGGGGCUCAACCCCGGGACUGCUUUGGAAACUGCCUGACUGGAGUGCUGGAGAGGCAAGCGGAAUUCCUAGUGUAGCGGUGAAAUGCGUAGAUAUUAGGAGGAACACCAGUGGCGAAGGCGGCUUACUGGACUGUAACUGACGUUGAGGCUCGAAAGCGUGGGGAGCAAACAGGAUUAGAUACCCUUGUAGUC
rnacentral:rRNA from 1 species